GGAUUGACGUGAUGGUCGUGCCUUACGGGGUAUGAACUGUUGCUGUUGAUUUCUCACCUUCUGGAGAAACUUGAUGUCCUUAAUUGGGUGUCUUGCGGAUCCAGGACCUUUACCUUGAAAAAAUUAGAGUGUUUAAAGCAGGCAUUUUUGCUCGAAUACAUUAGCAUGGAAUAAUAGAAUAGGACGGCAUGGUUCUAUUUUGUUGGUUUCUAGGAUCACCGUAAUGAUUAAUAGGGAUAGUUGG
rnacentral:rRNA from 1 species